AUUGAACGCUGGCGGCAUGCCUUACACAUGCAAGUCGAACGGCAGCACGGGUGCUUGCACCUGGUGGCGAGUGGCGAACGGGUGAGUAAUACAUCGGAACGUACCUUAUCGGGGGGGAUAACGCAGCGAAAGCUGUGCUAAUACCGCAUACGCCCUGAGGGGGAAAGCGGGGGAUCGCAAGACCUCGCGCGAUUAGAGCGGCCGAGGCCUGAUUAGCUUGUUGGUGGGGUAAAAGCCCACCAAGGCGACGAUCAGUAGCUGGGCUGAGAGGACGAGCAGCCACACUGGGGCUGGGACACGGCCCACGAUCCUACGGGAGGCAGCAGUGGGGAAUUUAGGACAAUGGGGGCAACCCUGCUCCAGCAAUGCCGCGUGAGUGAAGAAGGCCUUCGGGUUGUAAAGCACUUUCGUUGGGGAAGAAAUGCUCAGAGAUACGACAUUUGAGAGCUGACGUUACCCAAAGAAGAAGCACCGGCAAACUCUGUGCCAGCAGCCGCCGUAA
rnacentral:rRNA from 1 species